GGUCAGGACGAACGCUGGCGGCGUGCUUAACACAUGCAAGUCGAACGAUGACGAUGGUGCUUGCACCGUCUGAUUAGUGGCGAACGGGUGAGUAACACGUGAGUAACCUGCCCUCCUCUUCGGGAUAACCGCCGGAAACGGUGGCUAAUACCGGAUAUGAAUGCCUGCCGCAUGGUGGGUGUUGGAAAGAUUUAUCGGUGGGGGAUGGACUCGCGGCCUAUCAGUUUGUUGGUGAGGUAAUGGCUCACCAAGGCGAUGACGGGUAGCCGGCCUGAGAGGGCGACCGGCCACACUGGGACUGAGACACGGCCCAGACUCCUACGGGAGGCAGCAGUGGGGAAUAUUGCACAAUGGGCGAAAGCCUGAUGCCAGCGACGCCGCGUGGGGGAUGACGGCCUUCGGGUUGUAAACCUCUUUCAGCAGGGAAGAAGCGAGAGUGACGGUACCUGCAGAAGAAGCGCCGGCUAACUACGUGCCAGCCGCUGC
rnacentral:rRNA from 1 species